rnacentral:tRNA from 1 species
GCCAGUGUGGUGUAGUGGUUUGAAUGUUGGACUGCGACUCUGGAGACCAGGGUUCGAGUCUCUGCUCGGCCA